rnacentral:tRNA from 1 species
UGCCGAUUCGCCAAGCUGGUAAGGCACAGGACUCUGACUCCUGUAUUCGGGCGUUCGAACCGCUCAUCGGCAA